rnacentral:rRNA from 1 species
GUGGGGAAUAUUGGACAAUGGGGGGAACCCUGAUCCAGCCAUGCCGCGUGUGUGAAGAAGGCCUUUUGGUUGUAAAGCACUUUAAGCGAGGAGGAGGCUACCGAGAUUAAUACUCUUGGAUAGUGGACGUUACUCGCAGAAUAAGCACCGGCUAACUCUGUGCCAGCAGCCGCGGUAAUACAGAGGGUGCGAGCGUUAAUCGGAUUUACUGGGCGUAAAGCGUGCGUAGGCGGCUUUUUAAGUCGGAUGUGAAAUCCCUGAGCUUAACUUAGGAAUUGCAUUCGAUACUGGGAAGCUAGAGUAUGGGAGAGGAUGGUAGAAUUCCAGGUGUAGCGGUGAAAUGCGUAGAGAUCUGGAGGAAUACCGAUGGCGAAGGCAGCCAUCUGGCCUAAUACUGACGCUGAGGUACGAAAGCAUGGGGAGCAAACAGGAUUAGAUACCCUUGUAGUCC